CCUUUUCCACACCGCCUUUGGCCACGCCAGCCAGGGCCGCGGGGGUUUGGGGCAGAGUCCCCGUUUAUUUUUCCCCCAUCUUCUUUUUGAGCUGGAGCGGAAGAGCUCAACCUCCGUCCCCUUUUCGGGAAGACCAGGAUAUUUUUAGCCGCCCGGCUCAGGGAGUUGGGAUUUGCCGUGGCCGCCUCUGUCCACCCUCCCCCCCAUCCUGCCUCAGCAUCCCUCAUCCGCAACCUGCACCAGGGCAGGGGGCCGCAUCCUGCCCUGACAACAGCUCUUCUGGGUGCCUGUGUGAUGCCUGCGGUCCCCCGGGGGUCUCUGUGCGAUGCCUGUGGUCACCCAGGGGUCCCUGGCUCUCUUUUGGCAACGGGAAGCGGCAGGUUUGGUGUUAAUUCGGGUGUCAGCUCCGCAGGCAUCACCCCUCCCUUCACACCCGCAGCCGGCUGCUCCCCUCCGCGCUGCGCCGCCCUCACCAGGUCCAUGGAGUGACCCCGUGGGGGGGUCCCUGCACCGGCGCAGCCCCCGGCCGCCGGCCCGGCGCUGAGCGAGGCCGCCGCGAACAUGAGCGACUUCUGGCACAAGCUGGGCUGCUGCGUCGUGGAGAAGCCACAGCCGAAGAAGAGGAGGAGACGGAUCGACCGCUCCAUGAUUGGAGAACCCAUGAACUUCGUCCACCUGACGCACAUCGGCUCCGGAGACAUGGCUGCGGGUGAAGGCCUGCCCAUGACUGGUGCUGUCCAGGAGAUGAGAUCCAAGGGUGGACGGGAGCGACAGUGGAACAACUCCCGGGUCUUGUAGCAUAUUCCUGUUUUUUUCAGCCCAAACUUAAACUGCCCGAUCCCCCAACCAGAGAAGAAGCCGAUCUCGAGCGCUUUAACCCUGCGGUAAUUUAUGCAGAGCAAUCCUUGCCUGGCUCCCGGUGGCUUUUGGUCGUCAUCCCCCCUGGCAAAUCCCUCCCCGCUGGAGGCGUGGGGUCAGUGGCGCGGGGGGCAAUGGGCACGGCAGCCCCCGCCUCGUGCCCGACCAGCGGAAGGACGCGUGCCAGGAGCUGCCGGGCACAGCCGGGAUGUGCCAAACCCUCCCGGCUUUCCUUGCUCCGUACCUGUGCCUCGGCGCCGGGCCGCGGUGCCUCGCUUGCGCCGGGGGAUCACGGCGGGGCUGCUCCUGGUGCCGAGGCCGGGUCGGUGCCCUCUCGGGAAGGCGCACAACAGCAAAACUGGGAUUAGACCCUGAUGCUUGUGUCUCGUCAGCAGCGGCUCAGCACCGGCACCAUCCACGAGCCUGUGGUGCCUCCAGCCAGCGGUGCCACCACUGGCAAACUGCCACCUUCCUCCUUUUUUAGGAUAUAUAUAUAUUUUUUAAGCUCAAAAACCCAAGCAGGCAGCCUCUGACGCCUCAGAGGAAGGACUGUGGUGUGCUCCCCUCGCGCUGGGGUCACCACCAGGGUUUCACUGGCACUGGCCGAGGCAGGACGGGGCCUGACCAAGAAGGCGCUGGGGCUCCUGAAUUCGGGCACGGGUGUAUAUAGUUUAAAUAGCGCCAGGAUUCAAUAUGAAAUAGCAAAUGCCGGGCAUCACAGGCGGGUGGCAGAGGCUUUCACCCUGCUCCCUGCCACACCGGGAUGCUCCCGUGAGGAACCGGGCUCUUCCAGCCCCGUGGUGUGCUUGGUGUUGGUGAGUGAGUGCCGAUGCUUGGUCCGGUUUUCCCUCCCCUGGGAAAAACAACCCAUCCUUGAAAUAAACCCCUUGUGCUGGC
ensembl:lncRNA